UAGGGAAUCUUCCGCAAUGGACGAAAGUCUGACGGAGCGACGCCGCGUGAGCGAAGAAGGUCUUCGGAUCGUAAAGCUCUGUUGUUAGGGAAGAAGAAGUGCCGUUCGAACAGGGCGGCACGGUGACGGUACCUAACGAGAAAGCCCCGGCUAACUACGUGCCAGCAGCCGCGGUAAUACGUAGGGGGCGAGCGUUGUCCGGAAUUAUUGGGCGUAAAGCGCGCGCAGGCGGUCCCUGAAGUCUGAUGUGAAAGCCCACGGCAUAACCGUGAAGGGUCAUUGGAAACUGGGGGACUGGAGUGCAGAAGAGGAGAGCGGAAUUCGACGGGGAGCGGUGAAAGGCGUAGAGAUGUGGAGGAACACCAGUGGCGAAGGCGGCUCUCUGGUCUGUAAGUGACGCUGAGGCGCGAAAGCGUGGGGAGCAAACAGG
rnacentral:rRNA from 1 species